GUACCAGAGCAUGUCUAGAAAUUAAUUUUAAAGUUUGCUCAUUUGCUUUUGCUUAAAUAAUUUACUCAUUUUGCUUUUAAUUCUUUUAUUAAUCUGCUUUUGAUUCUUUCAUCAAUUUGCUUUUGAUUCUUUCAUUUUGGUAUAGCAUUUCUCUCCCUUUUUGACAUCAUCAACAAAAGAUUGUUACUCCCCCUUUUUCUUUGAAUACAUUUUCUCUUUUUCUUUCUUUUGAUGGAAAUAAUUUUACUAAUAUUACUUUUGUUUACUCCCCCUGAAUACAACAAACAUAAAAGAUAUACCGUUGGAUAUCAUAGAUAGCAUAUAUUACAAUUCAUAAUAUCUUAAGCAUGCACAUAAUUGAAAGCAACUAAAUUUGAAGGUCAUACAUUAAAAGUCAAGGAGUAGAUAUAUAAUCAAAAAGUGACUGAUACCACAUAGUGGUUCCAAUACAUACACCAAAAUAUAAAAGUUAAUUAGUCAACAUCAUUACAUGUCCCAAAAGAUAGAUCCUAGAAAGAGACAAAAGACAAGACUAACUACAAGGAUCUAGUAAAGCUCAUGACUGGAUGGAUCAGAAUCAGAUGUAUCGG
rnacentral:lncRNA from 1 species